rnacentral:rRNA from 1 species
UACGAAGGGGGCGAGCGUUGUUCGGAUUUACUGGGCGUAAAGGGCGCGCAGGCGGCUUAUUUUGUCAGGCGUGAAAGCCCCGGGCUUAACCUGGGAACUGCGUUUGAUACGGAUGGGCUAGAGUUCGGGAGAGGAGAGUGGAAUUCCCAGUGUAGAGGUGAAAUUCGUAGAUAUGUGGAGGAAUACCAAUGGCGAAGGCAGCCUCCUGGCCUAAUACUGACGCUCAUGCACGAAAGCGUGGGGAGCAAACAGG